GAAUCUGACCGAUAUGUGUUUAAUCCCAUUGGGCGCGUACAAUUAUUAUCGGCAGUGAUCUGGAGCCGCUUAUUAUUUACCGCAGCUGCGUCUGCGUGCGUCUUUACCUUUAAGGACCUGCGACAUUUUUUGCCCCAUUCGAACAUCCAGUUGUCUACCGCCGAGAAUCUUUGUGUUGUAGGGCUAGUUUUAGGAGAAGAACGCGCGGAUGGUUUCUUUUAACUGAUCUCGAUGUUUAUGCUGUAAUUUGCGUCGGCCGAACUCGAGCGCCGGAGGGGCGCGAGAGGACACCGCGCUCGAGAACAUCGCGUGGAGGAGGGGACGAAGACACAGAAGGGGUGUUCACUCAAAAUAUACUAUCCCUUUAAAACAAGGGGGACACGGCGGUGGGGGAGAGAUAGCGGGGCAGAGAAGACGGAAUAAAAAAAGAAAAGGAAGAAAGAGCGAGGGUGGGAGGGCGAGAGUAUUCCAGGAAAAAAAGGAAAAAAUGUCAUCCUCUCGAUUGAAAUGCCGAGGCGGAGCCAUGGACGACGACCGGUGAAGCGCUCGCCAUACGCGAAUGAGAUUUAACGCAACGCCGAGGCUCGAGCAGACGCCGCUCCGGGCCUGGAUGGGGAAUCUUAUAAUAAAAUUGAUGGCAUUCUUUUUAACCACGCCAUGCGAGCAAAUGAAACAUUCAACUGCCUUUUGAAUUCUAUUAUUUUUGCAUGAAGUAUUACACAGCGGUCUAAUUAAUAAGAAAACAUUACAUGCAGAAAUUCAUUUUAUAUUAGAUUUUUAAGCAUGGUAAGCCACUGUUAUGUGACAAUGCGGCGUUAAUAGCAUACUGUGACUGACAGCUGUCAUUUCUUAUUUUGUACUGUUUAGAAAUAUUUUAGAAUAUAUAUAUAUAUAUAUAUCCGUGUCCGUGUAAUAUGCAUUCUUUCGCUUUUUAAAUUUCACUGUCAUUUUAUAUUUGGUAGCUUUACAUUUUUAUUAUGUAGAUUUGAUAAGAUAGUGGAAGGAGACGUUGUCCAUUAGGAGAGAAAAAAUCGACUAAGAGUUAGUUUAUUUCAAGCGGCGUCUGUACUGUUCUGCACGGCAUGAUGGAUGCAGCUUGGAGCAAUUUCCUCUUUCAGACUCCGCCUUCACAGUCCCAAACUGACGCGACCCUCCAAUCAGAUCUUCUCCCGGAGCUCACGGAUGCCGCUCAGGACCCGCCCCCUGAGCACAUAGCCCCGCCCCCAUCCACGGUGGACACAGCGGCGCUGAGCGAGGAGCCCGUACCGGUGAAGCCAGUCACUCGACCAGCCCGACCUACACACAUCUGCUCCAUAUGUAACAAGCAGUUUAAGAACAGUUACAACCUGCGGCGUCAUCAGUCUGUCCACACUGGCAUGAAGAUGAAGGACAGAGCCGCUAGAGAGAAAAUAGAUGGAAGCCAGGCCGGAGCACGAGUGGAGAGGCAGACCAUCCCUCUUUCUCUCUUCCAGCUGUCUAUACCUGCCUCCAUACCCACGGCGCUCGACCCCAUGGCCCAGCCUUCCCCAAUCAGCAAUCAGCAGUUAGAGACGGUGGCUGUCUCUAUUGCCCCGGCAACAGUCGCCAUGACGGUGACCCAUCCCCUCCCUACUGCAGUGGUGGUUACUGGGACAAUGGUUCAGGCUGCACCAAAUACCAACAUCAACGAUAACCUAAAUAAUCCCACCCCGAUCCAAAUAUCUAUCCCAAUAACAAACCCAUUACCCAUCAUUCCGACUCCCAAUCCUAAUCCCAACCCCAAUCCGGUCAGGAAGAACCAUGCUUGUGAGGCAUGCGGGAAAGCUUUCAGGGACGUGUACCAUCUUAACCGGCAUCGGUUGUCCCAUUCGGAUGAGAAGCCGUACUCCUGUCCGAUCUGCCAGCAACGGUUUAAGAGAAAGGAUCGGAUGAGUUAUCAUGUUCGGUCACACCAGGGAGGAGUGGAGAAACCGUAUGUGUGUCCGCACUGCGCCAAGGGCUUCUCGCGGCCUGACCAUCUUAACAGUCAUGUGCGACAGGUGCACUCCACAGAGAGACCCUUCAAAUGUCCGACAUGCGAAUCCGCAUUCGCUACGAAAGACCGCUUACGAGCUCAUAUGAUCAGACACGAGGACAAGGUUCCCUGCCACAUCUGUGGCAAACUUCUCUCCCCUGCUUACAUCACAGAUCACAUGAGGGUCCAUAACCAAUCACAGCAUCACGUCUGUCACCUCUGCAACCGCAGUUUCACCACACUGACGUACCUGCGUGUCCAUGCUCAGAAGCACCAUGGGCAAGAGUGGAAGGACAGUGGGGUCGGCCGUGGCUCAGGUCCAGGCGGGGUGCUGUUAUGCCAGCUGUGCGGGGUACACUGCAAGACACCCACACAGCUGCAGGGUCACAUGGCCACGCACGCAAACCAGACGGACCCCAGUGUUCCUUGCCCCAUCAGCAUCAGCAGCAGCAGCAGUUCAGUGGCGACCGUGGGCAUAGCCACUCCUGUUUCCAGCCUUCCAGUCACAGUUGGGCUGCUGGUGACUGACUGCUCUGGCAUUGCUCCUCAGAGCCACAGCUAGCCAACAGCACAGCACGAGGAGGGAGGGAGGGAUGGAAGAAGCGGGGGUAAUAGGUGGGAGGGGAGAGAAAUCUAAGAGGAUGGGCCCAACCUGGACAGGCUGCCAUGGAAAUGCCAACACAAUGUAAACAUACCGUUACCCCAUCUAUCUCAUCCACCUCAAAUCUUGCUGGGACUGAGCAAGAACUGAACGACUCUCCUCAAAAUAAAUGUGACUUUUGAAUGAACUCAAGAAACAUCACCCUGCUUCACACGUGCUUUUAGAGCACGUCAGAGCAGCAAGUCUCCCUGGAUUGCUUUUUCCCCGUAUGCUUUGAUCUGGUCUGAUGGAUACAGACUGAAAGUGUUUAGAAGAAGAGCCUAGGAAGAUCUGAUGGACGACUGGUUUGGGUGUCAGUACAUUUCCUCGCAGAGUCCCAUUGGAGAGAUCACUGGUUUUAAAUGUAGGCUGUUAUUAAGUGCUGUCCCAGUUAAUUAUAAAAAAAUCCAGUGUUGAGGAAUGUAGAACACUAAGAGGAAUUGACACAUUAUGCCUCCCAACCUUUCCUUAUAUAAUAAUGGCUCAUAGCUACAUGAUCUUGAAAUCCAGACAAGAUACGUUUUAUAAAUGAAUUUACUCUGUUGUAAGAGAUCAAUGCAUCAUAAAUGAUCUUGACAUAAAUGACACCUCCACCGAACUUGAACAUUUGAGGGGAUGAAAUAUAGUGUCAUUUCCUCUCAUUAAUCCCUACGAAGGAUUAUAAAAGGGUUUAAAGAUGGUCACAAGGACAAAAUAUUUAUAUUUGUAUUUGUAAUGUACGUAGUAUGUGAGUACUAAAAAAGCAUCUAUUGUUCAAUGCCUCCUUUGAUAUUUUUCUCAUGGAUCUUGAUCUUUUUUUUUUUUUUAACUAAAGACGUUAAACAGAUGUAAUAAUUUUGAUUAUGUUGCAUAAGAUCUGUAACCUAUGUUUCCAGUUCUGUUUGUGUGGAUGCUUGUUUAACGCCAAUAUGUGUUGGUGUCGCUGUGCUCUUAUCCUAAAUAAUCUCUGUAUAAUGAACAUGCACCUAA